rnacentral:rRNA from 1 species
CUUUGACAUGUACGGAAUUCGCCAGAGAUGGCUUAGUGCUCGAAAGAGAACCGUAACACAGGUGCUGCAUGGCUGUCGUCAGCUCGUGUCGUGAGAUGUUGGGUUAAGUCCCGCAACGAGCGCAACCCUUGUCAUUAGUUGCUACAUUUAGUUGGGCACUCUAAUGAGACUGCCGGUGACAAACCGGAGGAAGGUGGGGAUGACGUCAAGUCCUCAUGGCCCUUAUGGGUAGGGCUACACACGUCAUACAAUGGAUGGUACAAAGGGUCGCCAACCCGCGAGGGGGAGCCAAUCCCAUAAAACCAUUCGUAGUCCGGAUCGCAGUCUGCAACUCGACUGCGUGAAGUCGGAAUCGCUAGUAAUCGUGGAUCAGAAUGUCACGGUGAAUACGUUCCCGGGUCUUGUACACACCGCCCGUCACACCAUGGGAGCGGGUUCUGCCAGAAGUAGUUAGCCUAACCGUAAGGAGGGCGAUUACCACGGCAGGGUUCGUGACUGGGGUGAAGUCGUAACAAGGUAGC